GCAGUGCUUAGAGUUACAAACUUACUUGUAUUGCCACAGCAGGUACAAGCUAAUAAGUAAAACAGGGUAAACAAUAUUAUGGCAUGCAAGAAACAGCACAAUUUUGUAUUAAGUUCAGGUUAGGAAGAGAUGUUUGAGGCUGUAGCUUAAACUAGGCGUUUGAUUACGAGAGACAUAUUAGACAUACUGAUUUAGUUCAGGAGGGAAAUACUAUAAUAGGACAUGCUUUGGUCGAUAGCCAAGCACGUCACGCUAAAUUGCACAUUAUGAAUUAUAUAGGAUGUCCUGUUAGGGAUCCG